GUUUGAUCCUGGCUCAGAGCGAACGUUAGCGGCGCGCCUAACACAUGCAAGUCGCACGAGAAAGGGGGCAACCCCCGGUACAGUGGCGCACGGGUGAGUAACACGUGGGUGAUCUGCCCAGAAGAAGGGGAUAACCUCUCGAAAGGGGGGCUAAUACCGCAUAGGACCACCGGGGCUUUGGCUCUGUGGUGAAAGGGGGCCUCUGUUUACAAGCUCCUGCUUCUGGAUGAGCCCGCGUCCCAUCAGCUAGUUGGUAGGGUAAUGGCCUACCAAGGCUACGACGGGUAGCUGGUCUAAGAGGAUGGCCAGCCACACUGGAACUGAGACACGGUCCAGACUCCUACGGGAGGCAGCAGUGGGGAAUCUUGCGCAAUGGGCGAAAGCCUGACGCAGCGACGCCGCGUGGGU
rnacentral:rRNA from 1 species